rnacentral:rRNA from 1 species
AUUGAACGCUGGCGGCAUGCCUUACACAUGCAAGUCGAACGGCAGCACGGACUUCGGUCUGGUGGCGAGUGGCGAACGGGUGAGUAAUGUAUCGGAACGUACCAUUGAGUGGGGGAUAACGUAGCGAAAGUUACGCUAAUACCGCAUAUUCUCUCCGAGGGAAAGCAGGGGACCGCAAGGCCUUGCGCUCUUUGAGCGGCCGAUAUCAGAUUAGCUAGUUGGUGGGGUAAAAGCUCACCAAGGCGACGAUCUGUAGCGGGUCUGAGAGGAUGAUCCGCCACACUGGAACUGAGACACGGUCCAGACUCCUACGGGAGGCAGCAGUGGGGAAUUUUGGACAAUGGGGGCAACCCUGAUCCAGCCAUGCCGCGUGAGUGAAGAAGGCCUUCGGGUUGUAAAGCUCUUUCGGCCGGGAAAAAAUCGCAUGGAUUAAUACUCUGUGUGGAUGAUGGUACCGGAAUAAGAAGCACCGGCUAACUACGUGCCAGCCGCCGCCGUAACAC